AUAUAUGAUGGUUUCUGAUCUUGUGUUUUUAUGAGAAUUCUGUGUGUGCCAGUGUGUAGUCUGCAUCUGGAUAUGCUCUUGUGUUUUCUCUUUGGCUUUUUUCUGUUAGUUUUCCUUAUUUUAUUUUUAGGUGCCUGUUUUCUAAUGAGAGGGAGAAUGAGAGAGUGUAGCUUUGGAUGGGUGGGGAAGUGGGGAAGAUCUGAGAAGAGUUGGGGGAAGGGAACCAUAAUCAGAUAUAUUAUAUGGAAAAAAAGCUAUUUUCAAUUAAAAAAACAUUUUGGACAAUAAAAUCCUUGUGUGAAAUAAAGUAAAAAAACUCAUAACAACUAUAGAAUGUCAUAUCUGUUUUACAUUUACUAUGUAUUUUUUUUUGAUGUUUUAAAAUUUUUAUUACACUUUAUUUAUUCAUGAAGGGUACACAGAUGACACCACUGCACCUGUGGAGGUCACAGCACUUGUGGGAGUCAGUUCCUCCUUCUUCUCUGUGAGUCCCAGGCUUAAACUCAGGUCCUCGGCCUGGCAGCAAGAACCUUCCUUACCCACCGAGCCUUCUCACUGACCCAAUAGAUUUACUGUCUUCUAAGAUCUUACUAUGGAUUUCAUCUCCACAAAUUCUAAAGUCAUAAAAUUGAACAAUUAAUGUCCGUGUGGCUCUGUUAAGGAUUAUACUUAGGGGGAAAAAAGCAACUCAAGCAUUUCCUUGUAUCUUGUAAAUGACAACUAAUUGGGUCUUUCUGAUAAUCUGAAACUGCACCCAUUCAUAUACAAAACUAUUCUGUACUUGGUUCAUGAACCAAGGCAAGAUUAUUAAGAGGUCAGAACGGAUAACUCUCAAUACUGUUUGAUUUCUGCCAAGAAGCCUGCCAGGGGGGCUCCAAGUAACAUGCACCCCCUGGGAGUGCAGCCAAGGACUUCAGUGGCAUAGGCAUAGUCACCACUAACCAGCAAGAACCACAAGGACAAAUUGGAUAAAGGGACUGAAAGUAUGAGAUGAGAAGAAAGUAGGUUUUCCUUUCUAGCAAAGGCUCAGGAUCGAGGCCAUUCCCUCUUGUGUUGAUGAUAGCUCCCUAAGAAUAGGGCAGUAAUGCAACUCAAAGAAUGGUGAAAUUUGAUAUCAGAAAGCCCAGGGCUUAGACUGCAUCUCAGCCCCUCACUGCUUGUGUUAAUCUUGGCUAUUACUGUUUCCCAAACUGCUGUGGCUUACAUGGACAAGGGUUGUUGAAAGAACAAGAUGCAUACAACUAGGUGAAAUGUGAUUGGCACAGGACCUUCUCCCUCCUCUGUGGGGCACGGUGGACCAGCUGCAUUCUUCUGUGCUUCUGGGUCAUUACUGGAUUAUUAGCAAGGACUGUGUAGGUGUGUCCUGCUGUGGUGCGUUGUCACUGACUGCUGGUAUCUAUUGUGUGUACCUACGGUAGGUGUCCUUAAGAAAAACACUUUCUACUUAAGUAGU
rnacentral:lncRNA from 1 species